rnacentral:rRNA from 1 species
AACAGGAUUAGAUACCCUGGUAGUCCACGCCGUAAACGAUGUCUACUAGCUGUUCGUGGUCUUGUACUGUGAGUAGCGCAGCUAACGCACUAAGUAGACCGCCUGGGGAGUACGGUCGCAAGAUUAAAACUCAAAUGAAUUGACGGGGGCCCGCACAAGCGGUGGAGCAUGUGGUUUAGUUCGACGCAACGCGAAGAACCUUACCUACUCUUGACAUCUACGGAAGACUGCAGAGAUGCGGUUGUGCCUUCGGGAACCGUAAGACAGGUGCUGCAUGGCUGUCGUCAGCUCGUGUUGUGAAAUGUUGGGUUAAGUCCCGCAACGAGCGCAACCCCUAUCCUUAGUUGCCAGCACGUAAUGGUGGGAACUCUAGGGAGACUGCCGGUGAUAAACCGGAGGAAGGUGGGGACGACGUCAAGUCAUCAUGGCCCUUACGAGUAGGGCUACACACGUGCUACAAUGGUACGUACAGAGGGAGGCAAGCUGGCGACAGUGAGCGGAUCUCUUAAAGCGUAUCGUAGUCCGGAUCGCAGUCUGCAACUCGACUGCGUGAAGUCGGAAUCGCUAGUAAUCGCAAAUCAGAAUGUUGCGGUGAAUACGUUCCCGGGCCUUGUACACACCGCCCGUCACACCAUGGGAGUGGGUUGCAAAAGAAGUAGGUAGCUUAACCUUCGGGAGGGCGCUUACCACUUUGUGAUUCAUGACUGGGGUGAAGUCGUAACAAGGUAACC